CUACGGGGAGACCAAUCAACCUCGAAAAGCAGUAACACCACAAAUGAGAACAAAUAAGUGCGAUGACAGUUAAAGAUGUAUUGCCUGUGUAUGACGGGCUCCAUGUUAUUAAAAGGACACCAUCUAGAUAUUUUUCAUUUCAUUCUAUCACCAACCACUUGCUGUUUGUAAUCACCAACUGAGAAGAGGGUUAAUUUGCGGUUCAUGAAAAGGCAAAAUGAGUAGGAUUUAUACUGCAAAUGGCGUUUACUUGCCUUUCUGUAUUGGCUGGAACUUCCAUUAUAAUGUGGAAUAUAGUGUGGUCUCACUAUGUUACCCAGGCUGGAAAGCAGCGGCUAUUCACAGGUGCAAUCAUCGCGCACUGCAGCCUCUAAUUCCUGGGCUCAAGCUAUCCUCCCGCCUCAGCCUCCUGAGUAGCUGGGACUACAGGCAUGCAUCACCAUGCCUGGUUCUGUCUCAGAUUUAAGAAAAUAUUCUAUUACAGCAUAUCUUUGAGUAAUCCUUUCAGAAAAGAUGUGCAGGUGGUAAACUGAUUGAAUCCUUCGCUGAAAAAUGACUAUUUGGUAUCUUCAAAAUUUUAAAGGUCAUUUCCUUUACCUUCUGGCUUCCAGAACUGAUAAGAGUACUGAUGUGAAAUUUGAUUCCAUUCUCAUUCUUGUCCAUUUUUAGGUAAACUGCUUUUUUCUCUGCUUUGGAAGAUAAUAGGAUAUUCUUCUCCUUAUCAAAAAUUCACCAGGACGUGAUCUUUUUCAUAGUUUUUCAUAUUCACCCUGUUUGGCCCUCUUAAUCUGAAGGCUUGCGUGUUUCUUUUGUUGGGGCACAUGUUCAUUCAUUCACUCAUUACGGGCAGGGAUACACUCUGUCGCCUAGGCUGGAGUGUAGUGGUGCAAUCAUAGCUCACUGGAGCCUUGAACUCCUGGGUUCCAGUGAUCCUCCCACUUCAGUCUCCCAAGUGGCUAGGAUGACAAGUGUGUGCCACCAUACCUGGCUAACCCUUUUUGAUUUUUGGUAGAGACAAGGUCUUGCUAUGUUACCCAGGCUGGUCUUGAAACUCCUGGGCUCAAACAAUUCUCCCGCUUUGGCCUCCCAACGUGCUAGGGUUAUGGAUGUAAGCCACCACAUCCAGCAGAAAAUGUUCCUCUAUAAUUUAUUUUCUAAAUUAUUUCUUCCCUUCAUUGUCUUUUCUUUCCUGCCAGAGCUCCUAUGAGAUGAACUGAUCCUUCUAACUUUCCUUAUUUUCUGUCUCUGCCUUUUUGCUUUGUAUUCUAGUUGAUUUCCUUGACCCUUUCUUCCAGAACACUCGAUCAGUAUUCAGCUGUGUCCAUUCCAUUAUUCACCUACUGAGUUAGCAACUAUCAUUACUAUGGGUCUCCUCUCCCCUGGGUGGGCUGACUAAAGUUUUAUUUUUUAUAAGUGGACGAGAUACUAACUGGUUAUGUGGACAUGAAGUUGGAGGCAGGCAGGUAGGAAAUGGCCUUUCCUCCCCACCAGCAAACGUGACACUGGCUUUACCCUGGUGGUGAGGAUCUGAGAAUAUUUUGGAUACUCUCUUGGAUAAAACUAUAUUUCAUCUCAUCUCUGACCAUCCUUGCUUCCUUCACACAAACUCAAACCCUGCUCUGUUCUUGUAGGUCCCCACAUCCACACCAAAACGUCUUUCCCAGGCAAGUGGCUCAUUCUCUUUACAGUUUUAUUCUUAAGUCUCAAAUUAAAUGUGUAUGUUGCCUGCUGUCAGGGGUAAGAUUGGGGAACUAAGGGGCUGGAAGCAGUUAAUUCCCUGAUGACUGUCUUAAGACCCCUACUCAUGCUGUGCUUGAUGUUCUGCCAGAUUGGUUCUUACCAUUAUGGUAGUUUUCCCCCACGAGUGUUUUACCCUGUGAUUUUUAUUUUCUCUGUUAUUGUUUAUCUGCUCCUAUUUGUUUUCUGUCAAUAAUGCCUCAUAAUUUCUGGUCAGCUAAUGGCAUCUGUUCUUAUAUUUUCAGUGUUCAUUCACUAUUAAAGAAUGUAUUUUCUUUUUAAUGGAUCUUUGGACAAAAACAUGUGCUCAGUUCUCUAACUAGCACUAAGCUGUGUGACUUCCCACACUGGUUAAUGCAUGCAUGCCUGUGGGGGAUGAGGAUCUGUUUAUGUACUGCACUAACUUUUAGACAGAUAUAUUUAUGUAUAUUGCGCACAUAUUUGAUCUCAAUAAAUUUAAUCAAGAACUUAAUUUGAUGACCAUUUAAAAUCCAAGCAAAAAAGAGGCAAAAAUGCUUAUCAGAUAUACAUAUAACUACAUGGCUUAAUUUAACAGUUCUGUCUAUAUCUAUUUAUCCAUAGAUACAAUUAUAAUGAUAUAGAAUUAAUCCAGAAGCUAAAGUAGGAUCAUUUUACUCUAUUCUUUUUAUUCUAACUAAUAAAAGAGUAUCUGACAGGCUUUUGGUCCAUGUUCCCAGCAUUUCUGAAGGCUUCUUAUCAAAUAUGCUGUUAUUACCCAUAAUUUUAUGUAUCGAUUUGUAUAAUGUAUUUCAAGGAAAAAAUUCAAUAUCAGCCAUUCUUGUUUCUUUUUUUCUUUUUAUUGAACUACCAAGACUAAUACAGCACAUCACUAAGCAAAAAGUGCUAUUUACUAUGCAAAAGGCACAGUCAGUGAUUGGCAUCUAAGACCAAUUGAUCUACCCAUUACCACUAUCUCCCUACCCCCACAAGCAUUACUAUGAAGCUAUUGAUUUAAACACUGUCGAUCGGUUUCCAUUUUCUGAUUUUGGGCAGGCCAAUCAAGAAAGUGAGUAAUUGUGAUUACACUGCUUCAGGAUCAAUUACAUUUGAUGCAAGACAAAGUGCUCUUUUUGGAACACACACACAAAAUUUUUGAUCUAGCAUGCUGUUGUGCUUAACAAAAUCUAAAAUAAAUAAUUUGUAUCUUUAUAAUAACAAAACAUACUAAUGUAAAUGCUUUUAAUAGUCAAGAACAUUUUCUAUGUGAAAUACAUGAAUUAUUUUCCUAAUGUUAGUUUGAAAGAAAUUUAGAAAAAAUAUUAUUCACAUACACUCCUUGGCAUAAGAUAAAAAUCAAAUACUACCUGCAUAUAUAUCCAUCCUUAAAGAGACUUAGUUAAUUAUGAAAGACAAAAUGCAAAUCCUGUUCAAGAGACUAUAAAGGAAGUCUUUGUAAAUAAAAUUGGGGAAAAAAAUCCAAUUACAUAGGAAUCAAAAGGUUCUUUAUACAAAUUGAUAAGAAAAAGGAAUCUUUUUUAGUUCUUAAUUUUGGUCUAACUUGGUACGUGAGCUUUGUCAUUGGGUUCACAUUGUCCAAAUCAUUAAAAUGAAUAUACCUCUGGUGUCAGAGGCAAAUCUAUUUAGAGUGAUGUUACUCAUAGCCUGUUGUUCAGUAAUAUUGAUCUGUGUUGUUUGUCUAAUAGAAAAAUAAUAAACAAUUACUAGGCAAUGUUGGGAAAAGUAAUCAGUUUUUAUAUAUCACUAAUACAGCAGACCUCCCAAAACAUAAAGGUGAUGAUCUGCAUAAAAUCAAUGUGUUAUGCUACAUUGCUUAUAUUUAUCAUUGCAGGUUCUCGGCAAUAAAAGGUAUAACAUUAGGCCAGAAUUACUGGUAAACUGAAAAGGUAUAUGAAAAUGAAAAGUUCACUAUGUUUAAUCUAUACAUUUAUUUUAAAAUGUCUAUUUCUAAAACUUCAAGACUUUUAAAUCAUAACAAAUUCUGUUCUAAGCUAGCUAAAAUGUAGGUAAAAUGUCUCAAUUCUUUUUAGAAUAAAAACAAAGAAACUUCAACUCAAAAUAGCCAAUUGGGCCUUAUAUCAGAAAAAGAAAAGAGUUCAAAGAUAAUUCUCAAUGAUGCAUGAAUACGGCUUUGUUCUAAUUUGCUAAUAGCCUCUGAAUUUCACAAGAAAUGUAUAAAGCAUUAUAGAAAAACAUUAACAACAAAAUCCAAUCCUAAAAAAGCUCUUCUGAACAGCAUUCAGCUAUGAAACCUUUGCCAACUGCAUAAAUGUUCUCUUUUGACUUUUAUCAAAGCAGUUUGUAAAUGGAUGUAAAAAGGAAAAAAAAAAUGUGUGAGUUUUAGGUACUGAUGGCAUCAAUAAUAUUCCACUUAAGAAUCUCAAGAUAACAUGUAUGUAUAUCUCAAAAGAUAUCUUCUCUGAGCUAUUUAAUAAUAUUAUUAAUGCUUUUAAUUUCUCCUGGAUUUUCCUCAUGAAUUUUCUCAUAAAUUUUCUAAAACUGGAGUGAUAAGUUAAAAAUUACUUAGUAGUAGCUUCUUUCUUUAACCAACAAACCAUGGAUUUCAAUCACAUAUGGCAGGUUGUAAUGGCUAGGUGUGUAACGAAUGCUAAAAAUACAUAUACUACACACAAUUUGUACAACUAUUCCAAGGCAGUCUAAACAUUAUCAAAGCAAAACAUAUUUGUUUAAAUGUUUUGUCUUUCACACACACACAAAAGCUGUUGAAAGCUUAGUUUUUGAUCUGCUAUCCUUUACAGGUUAUAUAAAAAAUAGAAGAACAAUUGAACUUACCACAACUGGAAACUGGCAGUCUGAGUAGAAUCACAAAAGUCAAUACCCAUUGAAACUGUAAUGGAUCCCUCAGGCUCAAGAGAGUCUAGGAAAUAAGAUAAUUUAGACAUGAAAACACAGAGGAUGUGAAAAAGAGGCAAACUAAACACUGAAAAUUUAGGUAAUGUUUGUAGCUUGGUUGAAACUGUGAAAUGUAAUGAUGGCUUAAAAAUUUCAAACUAAGAAUAUUAAAGCAAAUUACAAAGUA
rnacentral:lncRNA from 1 species